rnacentral:rRNA from 1 species
UACGUAGGGUGCGAGCGUUAAUCGGAAUUACUGGGCGUAAAGCGUGCGCAGGCGGUUUCGUAAGACAGAUGUGAAAUCCCCGGGCUUAACCUGGGAACUGCGUUUGUGACUGCGAGACUCGAGUGUGGCAGAGGGGGGUGGAAUUCCACGUGUAGCAGUGAAAUGCGUAGAUAUGUGGAGGAACAUCGAUGGCGAAGGCAGCCCCCUGGGUCAACACUGACGCUCAUGCACGAAAGCGUGGGGAGCAAACAGG